rnacentral:rRNA from 1 species
AACGAACGCUGGCGGCAGGCCUAACACAUGCAAGUCGAACGCUCCGCAAGGGGAGUGGCAGACGGGUGAGUAACACGUGGGAAUCUUCCUGUUGGUGCGGAAUAGCUCAGGGAAACUUGGGGUAAUACCGCAUAAGCCCGAGAGGGGAAAGAUUUAUCGCCGACAGAUGAGCCCGCGUCUGAUUAGCUAGUUGGUGAGGUAACGGCUCACCAAGGCGACGAUCAGUAGCUGGUCUGAGAGGAUGACCAGCCACACUGGGACUGAGACACGGCCCAGACUCCUACGGGAGGCAGCAGUGGGGAAUAUUGGACAAUGGGCGCAAGCCUGAUCCAGCCAUGCCGCGUGAGUGACGAAGGUCUUCGGAUUGUAAAGCUCUUUUGCCAGGGACGAUAAUGACGGUACCUGGAGAAUAAGCCCCGGCUAACUUCGUGCCAGCCGCCGCCGUAAUAC